rnacentral:rRNA from 1 species
UGCCUAAGAGUACUGGAUUAAAAGGAGGCGAACGGCUCAUUAUAUCAGUGAUUUUCUACCGGGAGAAUCGCAGGUAACACUGCUAAUGGAUAGCAUCGCGAAACGCGAUGCUAAUACAUGUGAAAACGUGGUGUUUGCCAUCCAACUGUUUGAGGGAAACCUUUUGCAGGGCAAAUGCUUCGCGAAUGGUUGGUAUAAAAACCAACGCCAGCAAUGGCAGUGUCGAAAAGCGAUGAAUCAAACCAUUCAGCAUAAGCGUGUUUACGCACGCGAAUCCCGAAGAAUUUCUGCCCUAUCAGCUUUUGACGGUAGUGUAGUGGACUACCGUGGCUAUAACGGGUACGGGGAAUUAGGGUUCGAUUCCGGAGAGGGAGCCUGAGAGAUAGCUACCACUUCUACGGAGGGCAGCAGGCGCGUAAAUUGCCCAAUGCCAAGUUGGCGAGGCAGCGAAGAGAAAUAGCGUCCCCGCCUCAAAUGAGUGUGGGGAUUGCAAUGGGUGGUAUUUAAACCAACCAACGAGUAACAAUUGGAGGACAAGUCUGGUGCCAGCACCCGCGGUAAUUCCAGCUCCAAUAGCGUAUAUUAACGCUGCUGCUGUUAAAGGGUUCGUAGUUGGAUGCGGAGUAUAGGGAUUACUUGCUUUGCAAGAUCUAUCCCUGCUCUGUUUUAAGACGGGACAGGAUGCCAUGCGGAAGCCUCCCUUCACUGGGAGGUGGAAGCAGCCAGCCGAAGAGGCAGGUAUUACGCAUGCGACGCAUGCUUUUGGCCGCCCGUCGUUAUUACUGUGAAUAAAACAGCGUGUUCAAGGCAGCCUUUCGGCUGAAUGACAAAGCAUGGAAUAACAAGGGAUCGACCGGUGGGUCAUUCUUUUGUUGGUUUUUAAGAUCCAUUUGGAUAAUAUGUGGGCAAAGUGUUUCCUUGCACUUCUUCAGGUUCUCCUGUUGAUGAGCAUUGGACCUUUGCCGAACACGGGAUUAAUGGGGGUUGUCGGGGGAAAACGUAUCGGAGCGUGAGAGGUGAAAUUCUUAGACCGCUCUGGGACGAACUUAUGCGGAGGCAUUUUCCAAGUAUACCUUCAUCAAUCAAGAACUAAAGUGUGGAGAUCGAAGAUGAUUAGAUACCAUUGUAGUCCACUACUGCAAACGAUGACGCCCAUGGAUUGGAUAGCUUUUUGUUAUCAUGGGAUCUCUUCUGCACUGCUCCCCCUUUAACGCGAAAGCUGAGGCUAUGGUCUCAUGGGGGAGUACGUUCGCAAGGCUGAAACUUAAAGAAAUUGACGGAAUGGCACCACCAGGCGUGGAGUGUGCGGUUUAAUUUGACUCAACGCGGGGAACCUUACCAGGACAGGAUAACGCAAGGAUUGACAGAUUGAUAGUUCUUUCUUAAUUCGUUUGACGGUGGUGCAUGGCCGCUUUUGGUCGGUGAAGUGAUUUGUUUGGUUGAUUCCUUUAACGGACGAGACCCAAUCCGCUUAAUAGCGGCGCCAUCUACCUUUUGGUAAACGGAGCCCGAUGAAGCUUGCUUCCUUGGGACCUCCCAGAUGGUGAUUCUCCUUCUUCGCGGCAUUCCGUGCGUUUAUAGCACGGUGGCAUUUUGGGCAACAGCCGGUCCGUGAUGCUCCUAAAUGUUCAGGGCUACACGCGCACUACAAUGACAAAGUGAAUGAGCGAAACCUCUCGGUCCUGCCUCGAAGGGGGUGGGAAAACUGAGAAAACUAUGUCGUGCUUGGGAUCGAAGCUUGCAAUUAUUCUUCUUGAACGAGGAAUGCCUAGUGGAUGUGCUUCAUCAGAGCGCAUUGACUACGUCCCUGCCAUUUGUACACACCGCCCGUCGUUGCUACCGAUGCUAGUGGGACACAGGUCAACAGACGUAGAUACGGUUCGCUGUGUCCGCGAAAGUUGACCCAUGUUUUUCUAGUAGAGGAAGCAAAAGUCGC